rnacentral:tRNA from 1 species
GAUAGCUCAGCGGUAGAGCAACCGGCUGUUAACCGGUGGGUCGUAGGUUCGAAUCCUACUC